rnacentral:rRNA from 1 species
UACAGAGGGGGCAAGCGUUAUUCGGAAUUAUUGGGCGUAAAGGGCGCGUAGGCGGCCGCCUAAGUCAGACGUGAAAUCCCUCAGCUCAACCGGGGAACUGCGUCUGAUACUGGGUGGCUUGAAUCCGGGAGAGGGAUGCGGAAUUCCAGGUGUAGCGGUGAAAUGCGUAGAUAUCUGGAGGAACACCGGUGGCGAAGGCGGCAUCCUGGACCGGCAUUGACGCUGAGGCGCGAAAGCCAGGGGAGCAAAGCGGG